GGAGCUGGGGGUCCCCGGUUUGCACCUCCCGCCUUAGGAAUUUAUUCUGGUGUCCAGCAUGAGCAGGAAAUUCAGUCAGGUGUUUUUUUGUUUUUUUUGUUUUUUGUUUUUUUGAGACUGAGUGUAGCUCUUGUUAUCCAGGCUUCCAGGCUGGAGUGCAGUGAGGCAGGAGAACGGCGUGAACCUGGGAGGCGGAGCUUGCAGUGAGCCGAGAUCGUGCUAUUGCACUCCAGCCUGGGCGACAGAGCAAAACUCCGUCUAAAAAAAAAAAAAGUUCUUCACUUCUUUUGCUCCUUUUAUAUGGCUUGAAAAAAUUACUGAUGUCC
rnacentral:lncRNA from 1 species